GAUGAACGCUGGCGGCGUGCCUAAUACAUGCAAGUCGAGCGAACAGACGAGGAGCUUGCUCCUCUGACGUUAGCGGCGGACGGGUGAGUAACACGUGGAUAAUCUACUUAUAAGACUGGGAUAACUUCGGGAAACCGGAGCUAAUACCGGAUAAUAUAUGGAACCGCAUGGUUCAAUAGUGAAAGACGGUUUUGCUGUCACUUAUAGAUGUAUCCGCGCCGCAUUAGCUAGUUGGUAAGGUAACGGCUUACCAAGGCAACGAUGCGUAGCCGACCUGAGAGGGUGAUCGGCCACACUGGAACUGAGACACGGUCCAGACUCCUACGGGAGGCAGCAGUAGGGAAUCUUCCGCAAUGGGCGAAAGCCUGACGGAGCAACGCCGCGUGAGUGAUGAAGGUCUUCGGAUCGUAAAACUCUGUUAUUAGGGAAGAACAAAUGUGUAAGUAACUAUGCACGUCUUGACGGUACCUAAUCAGAAAGCCACGGCUAACUACGUG
rnacentral:rRNA from 1 species